CUGAUGGAGAAGUGUGUUUAACAGAGAGCAUCCAUUAAAACACUGCUCAUGACAGGGGGUCUAAUGCAGAAACAUCAGAGAGGUGGGAAUCCUGCGGGAAAACUCAUGAAACACUCCUGUGAGAGCUGUGUGAGACACGUGUGUGUGUGUGUGUGAGUGUGAGAGAUAUUGUUGUAUACAUAUGAUCCAGAUGAUUCUAUUGAUGUUUGAGGUGAAUCUCUGAUCAGUUUCUAGCAGUGUAGCUGUGUGAGUGAUGUUUAAUGCAGUGACAGUAAUUCAUGUAUUAACAGUAGAUCUCUCUCUCUCUCUCUCUCUCUCUCUCUCUCUCUGUGUGUGUGUGUGUGUGUGUGUGACAGAGACGAGCAGCAGCUCAAACGUCUGUCGGGAUCAGAACGCUCUUCAUGAGCAGAUGGACGCAGUAGAGAAGGUGAGCUCAGUGUUUAAUCAGACUCAGAGUCAGUCUAAAGCUCAGUUCAUCUGUCUCGUCUCUCACUUCUGGAGUUAACUUGAGACUUUCUCCAUUCUGACAUUUUUCCCUUCUGAAUUCUGAGUUUAUAUCUUGCAGAUGUAUUGCUUUUUUUCCAUCUAAAUUCUACGUUUAUGUCUUUUAGUGUUGGACUUUUUUUGUCCUUUAAAGUCUGAUAAAAUUUUGCAAAUGUGUGAUUUUUGUCUUCUAAAUUCUGAGUGUAUAUCUUGUAGUUUCUUGACUUUUGUGCCCUCUAUUCUUUUCUUGUUGCAAGUUUAUAUCUAGCAAAUCUAAAACUUUUUCCUUUCUAAAUUUUGAGUUUAUUUUUGUGUUGACCCUUUCAUCCUCUAAAUGUUGAGAUUACAUCUUGCAAAUUUGUCACUUUUUUUUCGUCUCAAAUCUGAAUUUCUGUUUCCCCCAUUUAAUUCUCUGUUUAUAUAUUGAAAUGUAUGACUUUUUGUCCUUCAGUUUGCGAGUUUUUGGAAAUGUCAUUUUUUUUUUCCCUCUAAAUCCCGAGUUUUCAUUCUGCAGGUUUGAAAUGUUCUGUCCUCAAAGUUCUAGGUGUAUAUCUUACUGUGUGACUUGAGCGGGUGGAGGACUCUCUUCAGGAGCUGGAGGCGGAGCUGGCUCUUCUGCUGGAUGCUGUGGAGGCCCCUGAGUGGAGCCCCCUGCUGGACAAGCCACUCAUCGACAUACUGGACCAAUCUCACAGACUCUCAAACCAUAACAUCAGGAUUUUUACAUGAUAAACAGGGAAUCUGUCCACAGAAACAUUGUGUGUUAAUAUGUUUAGUCAGGUUCAAAAGAUGCAAUCACAAUGUUUACUAACCUUUUUUUAUUUUUCAGAAAAAUAGGAGUUAAUAUAACUAACAUUCGUUAAACCUACUCUAACUAAUGUAUACUUCUGUGUUCAGUCAGCACUUGUAGUAUAGCUACACUUGAGUGUACUUGAGUAUGACAGAUGGGUUCAAGUGUACUACAAGUGCUGACUGAAUACAUUUUAAAUAAAGAGAUACAGAAAAGAUUUAAUUCAUAUUCAUGGUGUCCCAAAAUAGUCCAGUUGAGUACACUCAGAUUAUUUUAUCUUAAGAAGUACUAAAGAAUAAUAUUUACUAUAUUAAGCACAAAUUAGUGUGCAAAAAUAGAGCACUCGAACACUCUAAGAGUAUUCUACUCUUUUGUUUUCAUUUUCUUCAAAUAUUUUAUAUUUUUCCUCUUUUAAUUUCAGGGUGAAAUAUGAUCCCAGAGUUUCUUCAGGAGAUCGUACACUACAAUAAAUGGACGGAGCAGCUCAUAAAGUUCUGGUACUAAUAAGACGAUAAGCUCUUCUUAUUAAAGUUAAAUGAAUCUUAUUACUUUACUGCGUGUCAGUAUUUUCUUCUGGUGUUUGUUCGUAACUAUUCUAAAUGUUCUGAGGAGAUGAUCAAUCACUGCAUGCAUGUGCAUAUCCAAACAUAACAUGUCUACAGUCUCUCUCUUUUCUUCACUGAAUCCAGGAAACCUGUGGUUUGUUCAGACUCCCAGCAUGCAUUGCUCUUUUGCUAUUGCUUCUGUUGUUCAGAGUUUGUAAUUUGGUUUGAAUGCACUGCAUCUCACUAGUCUCCCUGUUAGAAUAUGUUAUCUAUCGUAUAAUUAUUUGUCACAUUUUGAUUUGACUGAUUCAUGUUGUUUUGAACAUGCUGUGAGUCUUAAUAAAGA
rnacentral:lncRNA from 1 species